rnacentral:rRNA from 1 species
CUAAGUAUAAGCAAUCUAUACGGUGAAACUGCGAAUGGCUCAUUAAAUCAGUUAUUCGUUUAUUUGAUAGUACCUUACUAACUUGGAUAACCGUGGUAAUUCUAGAGCUAAUACAUGCUAAAAGGCCCGACUUCGGAAGGGUCGUAUUUAUUAGAUAAAAAACCAAUGCCCUUCGGGGCUCCUUGGUGAUUCAUAAUAACUUAACGAAUCGCAUGGCCUUGUGCCGGCGAUGGUUCAUUCAAAUUUCUGCCCUAUCAACUUUCGAUGGUAGGAUAGUGGCCUACCAUGGUUUCAACGGGUAACGGGGAAUUAGGGUUCUAUUCCGGAGAGGGAGCCUGAGAAACGGCUACCACAUCCAAGGAAGGCAGCAGGCGCGCAAAUUACCCAACCCCGACACGGGGAGGUAGUGACAAUAAAUACUGAUACAGGGCNCUUUUGGGNCUUGUAAUUGGAAUGAGUACAAUUUAAAUCCCUUAACGAGGAACAAUUGGAGGGCAAGUCUGGUGCCAGCAGCCGCGGUAAUUCCAGCUCCAAUAGCGUAUAUUAAA